rnacentral:rRNA from 1 species
AGGUCAAGUGAAGAAGGGCGCACGGUGAAUGCCUUGGCACUGGAAGCCGAUGAAGGACGCGACUAACCGCGAAAGUCUUCGGGGAGCCGUAAGUAGGCUUUGAUCCGGAGGUCUCCGAAUGGGGGAACCCAGCAUGUGCAGACAUGCUAUCCUUAAGUGAAUACAUAGCUUAAGGAGGGAACACGCAGUGAACUGAAACAUCUAAGUAGCUGCAGGAAGAGAAAGAAAUAUCGAUUUCCCAAGUAGCGGCGAGCGAACAGGAAAGAGCCCAAACCGGCAGAUUUAUCUGCCGGGGUUGUAGGACUGAGACAUGGCACUUCAGAGGAUAGCAGAAGCGUUUGGGAAAGCGCGCCAGAGAGGGUGAGAGCCCCGUAAGCGAAAUCCAAAGAAGGCCUAUCAGUAUCCUGAGUAGGGCGGGACACGUGAAAUCCCGUUUGAAUCCGCGAGGACCAUCUCGCAAGGCUAAAUACUAACCAGUGACCGAUAGUGAACCAGUACCGUGAGGGAAAGGUGAAAAGAACCCCGGGAGGGGAGUGAAAGAGAACCUGAAACCGUGUGCCUACAAGUAGUCAGAGCCCGUUAACGGGUAAUGGCGUGCCUUUUGUAGAAUGAACCGGCGAGUUGCGUUAGUCAGCAAGGUUAAGUCAGAAAAGACGGAGCCGUAGCGAAAGCGAGUCUGAAGAGGGCGAGCAGUUGGCUGACGCAGACCCGAAACCAAGUGACCUACCCAUGACCAGGUUGAAGGCGCGGUAAAACGCGCUGGAGGACCGAACCCACGUAAGUUGAAAAUUGCGGGGAUGAGUUGUGGGUAGCGGUGAAAUUCCAAACGAACUUGGAGAUAGCUGGUUCUCUCCGAAAUAGCUUUAGGGCUAGCCUCGCAAAGAGGAUGCUGGAGGUAGAGCUCUGUUUGGACUAGGGGCCCGUCAAGGGUUACUGAAUUCAGAUAAACUGCGAAUUCCAGACAUUUAUGUGCGGGAGUCAGACUGCGAGUGAUAAGAUCCGUAGUCGAAAGGGAAACAGCCCAGAUCACCAGUUAAGGUCCCAAAAUUCAUGCUAAGUGGAAAAGGAUGUGGAGUUGCGCAGACAACUAGGACGUUGGCUCAGAAGCAGCCAUCAUUCAAAGAGUGCGUAAUA